GGUCUGUAGCUCAGUUGGUUAGAGCGCACCCCUGAUAAGGGUGAGGUCGGAAAGUUCAAAUCUUCCCCAGACCCACCCACCUU
rnacentral:tRNA from 1 species